GGCAUCAACACUGAAAUUGCUUUGUGUGCAGACAAACUGUACUCCUAAGGCCAGAGAGUCCCAGGCAGUUGUGGGAAGCCCCAUCAGUGUACUGAGCAUACUUGUAUACACUUAUGCUGAUGAGACCAUGAAUUUCUUCCUCUUUUGUAUUUCCAAGAGGGAUGACCACACAGGGAGGAGGAAUCUAAAAACUUAAGAUGCAAAAUAUUAAAAGGGG